GGGGCUGUAGCUCAGAGGUAGAGCACUUGCCUUGCAAGUAUGACGCCCUGAGUUCGAUCCUCAGCACCA
rnacentral:tRNA from 1 species